GUAGGGAAUAUUGGGCAAUGGAUGCAAGUCUGACCCAGCCAUCCCGCGUGCCGGAAGAAGGCCCUCAGGGUUGUAAACGGCUUUUGACGGUGAAGAACCGACAGGAUGCGUCCUGUUUUGACGGUAGCCGUUGAAUAAGCACCGGCUAACUCCGUGCCAGCAGCCGCGGUAAUACGGAGGGUGCGAGCGGUGUCCGGAUUUAUUGGGUUUAAAGGGUGCGAAGGCUGGAAGGUCAGUCAGCGGUGAAAAGCUAUCACUUAACGAUAGUCUUGCCGCAGAUACUUCCUUUCUUGGAUGAGGAGGAGGCCACUGGAACGGAUGGUGUAGCGGUGAAAUGCAUAGAUAUCAUCCAGAACACCGAUUGCGAAGGCAGGUGGCUGUACCUUAAUCGACGCUGAUGCACGAAAGCAUGGGGAGCAAACAGGAUUAGAAACCCGGGUAGUCC
rnacentral:rRNA from 1 species